rnacentral:rRNA from 1 species
GACGACCGCUGGCUGCGUGCUUAACACAUGCAAGUUGAACGGAAAGGCCCUGUUUUUGUGGGGGGCUCGAGUGGCGAACGGGUGGUUAACACGUGAGUAACCUGCCCUUGACUUUGGGGUAACUUCAGGAAACUGGGCCUAAUACCGGAUAGGAGCUCCUACUUCAUGGUGUGGGUUGGAAAGUUUCGGCGGUUGGGGAUGGCCUCGCGGCUUAUCAUCUUCUUGGUGGGGUAGUGGCUCACCAAGGCGUUGCCGGGGAUCCGGCCUGCGGGGGUGACCGGCCACAUUGGGACUGCCACCCGGCCCGCACUCCUACGGGGGACAGCAGUGCGGAAUAUUGCACAAUGGGCGGAGGCCGGAUGCAGCAACGUCGCGCGAGGGAGCACGGCCUUCGGGUUGUCACCCGCGUUCGCCUGUGAAGAAGCGCGCGUCAUGGUAAUGGGUAAAGAAGCAUCGGCUCACUACGUG